rnacentral:rRNA from 1 species
AUACGUAGGGUGCGAGCGUUGUCCGGAGUUACUGGGCGUAAAGAGCUCGUAGGUGGUUUGUCGCGUCGUCUGUGAAAUUCCGGGGCUUAACUCCGGGCGUGCAGGCGAUACGGGCAUAACUUGAGUACUGUAGGGGAGACUGGAAUUCCUGGUGUAGCGGUGAAAUGCGCAGAUAUCAGGAGGAACACCGUUGGCGAAGGCGGGUCUCUGGGCAGUAACUGACGCUGAGGAGCAAAAGCAUGGGUAGCGAACAGGAUUAGAUACCUUGGUAGUCCAGGCCGUAAACGGUGGGCGCUAGGUGUAGGGGUCUUCCACGACUUCUGUGCCGUAGCUAACGCAUUAAGCGCCCCGCCUGGGGAGUACGGCCGCAAGGCUAAAACUCAAAGGAAUUGACGGGG